GAUAGGAAAAUUUUUAAAAUGGAUCGUAUAUGAGUUGUAAUCGAUACAAAGUUGCUCAUUAUAAUAAAUCAUCUGUAUUCUGAAUUUUUGUCAAUUCCGUGGCAAUUUUUAUCUAGAGUUUAUUAUGUUUACUGAGUGGCAAUGAGUUUUGCAUUCUGUGGGGAACUGUAACUGUAUGGGUUAAAAAGCUUGGUUUAUAACUUUGCAUAAAGCGCCCUUCACAGCCUGUGGCUGGCAGGCACUCUGAGUCCCCUUGGGUGUGGCUCUUCCUACCUCCUCUUUUGCCCAUUUCCUGUCCUCACUUCUUGUCUCACUGCCUCUCUGUUACAGAACUCUACCAGGAAGGACCGAGCUCAGCCCUAUGGAAGUUCUGAGACAAACUGAAAGCAAGCUCUGCCACUCGCUGUAGCAGUAAAAUGGGACCCCAGAUCCACCACGAUGUGCCUAGGAAGUGAAAUGACAGUGCCUUUAACUCUUCAAUGUGCGAAGAAACAGAAAAAUCUUGUUAGCUGCAGUUCUAAAAAUUGCAAGUAUCCCACAGUCUGUGCCUUCAUCAGCAAAGAUUCUGCGUGUAUUUUAUUCAACAAAUGUGAAUUCACUUCUAAAAAUAACCAGUGCAGGUUUUCUACAAGCAUGGAGGGUCACCAAGGUUGAAACAAUCAGUCUUGGGCUUGCCCACUUUGAAUGGAAACAAAGUAUUUUCCCCAUCUGGGAGUUUUACUUUUUUUCUCCUUGGCUUCCUAUCUCCUUCCCAUAAGACUCAAAUACUAUUUCAGAAACAUGGAGUAAGAUGGAGCCCCUGCUCGGAUCUUAGUUUCUCUUCCUCUUUUUCCGAUAGCAGGACAUUUGCUUUGUCCUAAGAUGAACUUUGUCAUUUACUUCCACGGUAUGGUUUGACCUGGGAGAUCAUUUCAUCCCUACACUCUGAGAAAAGGAACCAUUGUUUUCAAGCCUUUCCCCUCAAACAUGUAACAUACAUGAUUUAUAUCAUACAAAUUCCUCCGGAAGUUCCGUGUAGAAAAUACCAGGACUCCUCACAUUUGUAGUGGACACCUAAAGCUUUUACUACCAAGAGGAUUCUCAGACAUCUUGACAGAGACACGGCAUGUCUUGGAUAGGAUCCAGGAACAGAAAAGCAAAAGCAACAACAAAACCAACCUGAAUGAAGCAUGAGUUUGAUUGGAGCCCUCAUCCAGUGGCUGAUGGAAGCAGAGACAGACAUCCACAGAUAUACGCUGAGCUGAAAUCGGGAAUUUAGUUGAAGAGAGUGAAGAAUGAAGAGCAAAGGGGUCUGUACCAGGUUGGAGAAACCCACAGGAACAGUUGACCUGAACAAGGGAGAGCACAUCGACCCCAGAUGCUGUCUGGGAGGCCAGUACAGUACUAAUCCAGACCCCUGAACAUGGAUGUCAAUAAGAAGGCCUCUGCAUUCCAGGGAGCCUCUGGUAGUGGAUUAGUAUUUUUUUCCCUGGUGUAAGAAGGGACUUUGAGAGCCCAUUCCAUGUGAAGGGAUGCACUCUGGCCCUGGACACAUGGGGAAGGGCCCAGGCCCAGCACAGGAAGAUUUGGUGUACUUUGUGGAGCCCCCGUUGAGGGCCCUACCCUGCCUG
rnacentral:lncRNA from 1 species